rnacentral:lncRNA from 1 species
AGAGCGUGGAGGUGGCGCGGGCGCGGCGGUGGACCUGGGGGUCGUCACUCCUGCAGCUGGCAGCCGCCGCUGGGCGCUUCCUGUCGCAUCUCUCUUGCCCGGCGGGCGCCCAUCCCGCCCCGCCCCGGCCCGUGGACCUGCAAACCGAGGCUCAGAGCGGAUUUGCCCUAGGGGCUUUCACGAGCUUAGCAGAGGGGUUCCCGGCGGGGUUCCCUGGGGUCACGGGGCGCGAUGAGCAGCGAAGAAAGGAGGCGAGGAGCUGCGUCCGGGCUGGGUGCUCUCUGAACGCGAGGAGGCGGGAUGCGCUCGCCGGGGUCCAUGAUGUGCUCGGCGCCCGUCCCUGGGCCCGGGAAUGCGGCCGCUGGGGAACCCGGGCCAGCGAAUUCGCCCGCGAUCUCCGCGGAUCCCAGGACUGCCAGCGCUUUGGCCCUAGAUGGACGGUGGGGAAUGGGGUAGGGGGCUCCGGAACCCCUAACGUGGAUUACUUGGUGCAUAUCGCCCGGGCAUGGAAGACCCACCACCUCGUCUCCACCCGUGGAUUGAUGUCUUCUGCCGAACAGGUCGCUUACCUGGAGGUGGAACCAGAGAUUCGUGGCUGCUGUGAGUAGGUGCUUCUGACGGGGAAAGAAGGACAAGAUGAGAGGCCUGGAAGGAAGGACCGAUAAAGGGCUGUUCUUCCUCGCCCACGCUUCCCACCAGGAACUUCUGUGGAGCCAGAGUUUGCCGCCAGAACCCCCACAGGACCUGGGUGAAACAGGACCAUCUCUUAAGAGGCAAGAGCUCUUGAUUUGAUUGAGGAUUCUUAUUUUGGAGAACAAAGCAACUUCCAGAUUUGAGAAGACCUGCAGUUGAAGAAGACACCAUUGUCCCGGAUCCCUUGUUCUUCCUUCGCGUGGGAAAUGUUUCUUGGCGGGUGCCUGGUCUUAAGACUCCCCCACACCGGCCCCAGGGAAGCCAAGGACUUUCUGCCACACCCUUCCUCGCCCCCCACCUCCCACGUCCGCUGUGCCUUUGGACUCGGCAAUUCUUGUUUGCUCCAUUAUCUUCCAGCCGGAUACAGAGUGAAUAGUUAACUACCCGCAGGUCAAUGGGGUCUUAAUUUUUGUUCCUGCUCCCUCUACAGAGGCCAGUGUCUGUGUGUUGCUAUGCAAGCGGCCUUGGAAUUGCACCCCUUCUCAUUGAUUUGGGAUCUGGCCCCCGCAGGUUCCAGAGCAAUGCGGGUCCAGGCAGAAAUUCUUCAGGCUCUCAGGAUGUUGGAGGGGGCGCUGGCCGCGAGCUGGACCAUGAAGGCUGGCGUUCCCCACAUUCAGCUUUCUUGGGUUCGGAUCAUAAGCAGGUGUAGAUCUGGAGAAGCAGAAAAUGAACACAUUUUCUACUGACACCGAUGCACGGUCAACGGUGAAGACCUUCUCCCAGCUAGCAUUUGGGUUCUGUGUCCAAACGCGGCGCUUCAUGGCAGAGUAUCCAGCCACCAGAGUUGGUGUGUCUUGAGGACCUGAAUUCUUGAGUGUGUGCUGGUGACACAGCCCUCUGACAGUCGAUGGGGCCUCACAAAACACAAGUCCUGCCUUUUCCUUUUCACUCUGUGGCCGUCAUACAUACGGCUAAAAACAUUUCCUAGAGAUCAGUCAUGGUUCAGUCGUGUCCAAAACGCAGAGCCAAAGAUGCAUUUUCUCUUUUCACAGCAAAUGAAUGACUUGCCUUCGGAAAAAGAAUGAAAGCCAGACAUUCUGCAUCUUUCCCGUGUUGUAGAUGAUGCAUUUGGAUGACCACUUUGUGACUUUGGUGUCUUAGAAGGGAAGCAGUGGGGUCCUUGGCAUCUCAGAUUCACCACAAAACAGACGAGGAGAACUUCUGGCGGAUGGUUUGUGCUUUUGAAAUGGGAGGCUUGUUUGUGGGCUUUUACCUUCCUUCCUUGACCUGCAGACACCUCAUUGCAUUAGAUUCCUUUGGGUUUUAAGAAGCAGAGACUUGCUGAUACUGCUCCGUACAUGCUGGUUUGUUUCGAGUUGCCAUGGACGUAAAGAAGAAAGGAAGCAGCCCGCCGAGGCGCUCUCCACCUAGGCCUGCCCAAGAAGCCCAAGUCGUUCCAGAUAGCCAGGGAUAGCAGAACCGAACCACCCUGGCCAUCUUGAUCUUCUGUUUGCACCAGCAUCCACUGUUCCCAGGAUCCUACCAUGGUGAUGAGCUGAGGGUGACUCAGUUGGCCCAGGACUGAGGAGUUUCCUGGGAUGCAGGACUUUUUAGUGCUAAACCUAGGACAGUCCUAAGCAAACUGGAACAACCAGUCACCCUACUGGGUGACUCGAGGACCCUGCCUCUCUUCUACUUUCCCUGCUGUGACUGGCUGAUGCUCUUGAUGGGUCUGGCCAGUCGCCAUUCAAAACUCUUGCGUCAGGCAACUUCAUUGGCCACUGGGCUACCUAUAGAUGGGUGCCCGUGGACCCAGCACCAACCCAUCUUGACCAGAUUUGUUGUUUCCAGGGUCAUAGGGUUGCAUAAUCUAGAAUAAAAGCCUGGCUGUAAACAACCAGCUGAGACCACUUCCUUCAGAAGACUGCUGUGGACAGGUGGCCCUGGCAGGCAUUCAAGGUAAAAUGAGUGAGUCAGGCCACACGCUUCCCAAAGCCUCUGCCAGCGCUGCCAUCCACAGGGCUGCCAUAUUGGAUGCAGUUCAUGACAAAGGAUUUGCUACUUUUUGUUCUCUCUGGCUCUCCUCCUGCCUUCCCUUCAGCUUGCUCCAAGAUCAUGUGGACACACACCUCAGCAACCUCUGCCCCUCUGACCUCAUCCAAGUCACUGGCCUUGGGAGGCAGCCCAGGUGUUUCGAUUGGGCCAACUGCUGACAUUCCCUGCUGGUGACAACUCGUCCGCAUCUCCCCCGACUCAACCCUCGGAACAGACCAUGGCUGCUUCCUGGGGCACCACUGUGAGACAGGGGUGGGGGAGUGUCUUGGAAAAGAUUUGCUGCAUUGAAAAAAAAGUACUAAAAAGAAAGCCUCUUAGGCCAUGUAGCUUUGGGGUAAGGAAGAGGUGGAGACCUCGCCAGAGUAAGCCUCCGAAGCUUCCUGUUUUCAGGCAAGCGGGAAGCAUAGUGCAAACAUCCUUCUUCAUUUAUGCUCUUUGUUCUUGCUCAGCCAGUGUGCUGUUCGACAGGGUGGCCUUUCAGACGCAUGCUCCCGUCUGCAUUAUCUGCUUCAGAUCAAAAGAGAAAAUGCAUGAGAAUGUGCUCAGAAGGCCUGGUUCCCGCACACAUGCCAGUUAUAAUCAUAAUCAUAAAUGCUCGGGCUGGGACCUCUUGGGGACUCUAGGCUUGUGUGUCCCUCCCUGAGCUCCGUCCGUCUCCUCCCUGGAGAGCUCAGGCCAGCCCGCACUUACUGCAUGUUAAUUGCCAGGCUUCCGUAAGCCUUGGGGGGACUUUCACCCCAGUGGAACCUGAACGAACUAAGUUAGAGAAUGAGGGUUUCCUUUUCUCCCCGAGAGCACAGGGACCAAAGAAUUCAUUCAUUCCAUGCCUUUGCAAAUUCUCUUUGAGCAGCUACUGCUCCCGCCUUCCCCGUCCCCCGCCGCAAGGUCUAUCCGUCCACUAUCAUGUUUCUCCACUUACCCAGGACAGUUCCCCGUUUGCACUGGUUUUCCCAGCGUAGUUACUCAUAGCACAUGUCCAUUUUCAAGAGUGCUCCCGUUGAGAUGAUAAGUUCUGUGGUCUCAAGAUCUGUGAUGCUUCUGGGCAACCAUGAAAAAAAAGUCAGGGAUCUUUUCUAGGUACCAGGACAGGGCACCCAAAUGCUGAUGAUUGAACCAGUUUGGCUCUUUGCUGAUCAUGGCGAUUGGAGGCAGGGGGAUCGGGGCACCGUUGUGUUAGGUCUCCUGGACAACCCUCCAGGGGAUGGAAUGUGCUGGACUAGUAGGUGACCAGAGGUGCGUGGGAGUGGCCUUUGUGCGGUCUCGGUGUUGUCACGGGGUGAAAAAUUAGCCCCCGCUUUUAAAUGCGAUCAGGGAGACGCUCGAUUCAAGUCAAGGUCUUCGUGAGGGAACUGGGCUUUGGGAAUACGGCAGAGUUGAGUGAAAAUAAGCAGCAGCCUCUGAGCCUCUUUGUGGCAAUACGUUACCAUACGUCCAGUGGGCGGAUGGUCAGGAACAUGUGUCAUUUGUUUAGAAUUCGGCACAUUAGGAGGUGUAUUUGCAUGUGCUCUGACUCAGGGCUUCUGGCAAUGGAGGCAUGGAGGAAAGGAAUGAUCAACCUCUCUUUAAAAAAAUUUCUUUUCUUUUUCUUUUCAUCUUUUUAGGGCUGGGCAUGUGGCAAAUUCCCAGGCUAGGGGUCGAAUUGGAGCUGUCGCUGCCGGCCUAUGCCGCAGCCACAGCCACAGCCACGCCAGAUCUGAGCCACAACUGCAACCUAGACCACAGCUCACGGCAACACCGGAUCCUUAACCCACUGAGCGAGGCCAGGGAUCGAACCCGCGUCCUCAUGGAUAUUAGGUUGGUGACCGCUGAGCCACCAUGGGAACUCCUCACUUUUUUUUUUUUUCUUUGUAGAAAAAAAAGCAAGGAAACUUUUCCAAAGUUGUCCAGCUAAAGGGUGGCAGAAUCCUGUCUUGAUGAGCUCACUCAAGUCUAUUAGUCUUCCUACCUUAUUUAUUAUCGUGGAGAUCAUAUCAGAAGACAGGCCAGAGCCUUUUGCAUUCCAGAAAUAGGUGUUUUGAUGCUCGCCAAAGGCAGAGCUGGCUCCAGAGGAACAAGCUUAGGGUUCUAUGAGAGCAGUUUAUACACUAUUUAUACAGAGAGCAGCCCCAUCAGAGAGGCUGCUACGAAUUGGGCAGUGGUGACGGAGCUGUUUCCAGAGCUCUGGGGCUCCAAGGGGAUCAAGCCAGCCCAUCUCCCUUUACAACUAGCAGGCCUUCCUGCCCAGAGGACAAACAGGGGCAGGAGCCCAGCCCUGCACCCAGGGAGCAGAGGAGUGGGCCAGGCCCGGGCUCCCGCUACGUGAUUGCGAACAUGUGAAGCCAGGGUGAUUGAACUGCGGGUGACCCCGCGCAGCAAGGAGGCUAAUUAGAGCUUCUCUUCCCCACACUUCAGUCACAAGCCCCCCUCCUGCCCUUCCUCCUGAUGGUGCGGCUGAUAAGGAGGGAUUGAAUUUAUGAAAAGCGAUGAAGAUGUUUGGAUAAGCCUCGGGACCAAGGCGAGCCAGCCGGACGAGUCCGGGCCUGACGGAGGCAGCGGGGUUGUCUGGCAGCGGCGGAAGGGGCCGGCGAGGCCAGGCCGGAGGAAGGGGGGGAAACGAGCCCUGAACGUGACGCCCACGGGCGUGGCCCGGGGGCUGCUCCCCUGGGCCGUCACGGUGGAAAGGGGCUUGCUGAAAGCUGGCUCUGCGGGGAGAUUGUCAGCUUGCCCCAUGUCGCCUGGCAGCCCGCAGCUCCUGCCUGGACCCAGGGAGAGCCUGUGUGAGCAGAAGAAACCAGAGGACCGAGGCCGAUGAGUAACCAAAGGGUGGGAGCCUAGAAAACGGCUCAUCCCUUCCAGAGGUGAAGGUCAGACUGGGAAGAAUAAGGAAGGGGAAAACGUGCACCAAGCACCGGGCAGAGGGCACUGUAUGUCGUAUCCCACUUGGUCCUUUUCUGUGAGUGUCAUGCCUACCGCAUGCAUGGAAUAAGUAAAGCUCAGAGAGGGUCCGUAACUUCCCCAAGGCCACACAGCCAAUAUGUGACGAAUCGAGGCAUCAAAACCAAGUUGUG